AGGUUUGGCACCUCGAUGUCGGCUCAUCCCAUCCUGGGGCUGUAGUAGGUCCCAAGGGUUGGGCUGUUCGCCCAUUAAAGGGGUAAGCGAGUGGGGUUCAGAACGUCGGGAGACGGUUCGGUUGCUAGCCGUGGCAGGCGUAGGAAAUUGGAGAAGACCUGUCCUGAGUACGAGAGGACCGGGAGGGACGUACGUCUGGUGUACCAGUUGUUCGGCCAAGGGAAUGGCUGGGUAGCUGUGUACGGAAUGGAUAAG
rnacentral:rRNA from 1 species